GCCUGGGUGGCUCAGUCGGUUAAGCGUAUGACUCUUAGUUUUGGCUCAGGUCAUGACCUCACAGUUUUGUGGGUUUGAGCCCCACAUCAGGCC
rnacentral:tRNA from 1 species